rnacentral:rRNA from 1 species
CCAGACUCCUACGGGAGGCAGCAGUGAGGAAUAUUGGUCAAUGGGCGCGAGCCUGAACCAGCCAAGUAGCGUGAAGGAUGACUGCCCUACGGGUUGUAAACUUCUUUUAUAAAGGAAUAAAGUGAGGCACGUGUGCCUUUUUGUAUGUACUUUAUGAAUAAGCAUCGGCUAACUCCGUGCCAGCAGCCGCGGUAAUACGGAGGAUGCGAGCGUUAUCCGGAUUUAUUGGGUUUAAAGGGUGCGCAGGCGGCCCGGCAAGCCGGCGGUCAAAUCGCGGGGCUCAACCCCGCCCAGCCGUCGGAACUGCCGGGCUAGAGUGGGCGAGAAGUGCGCGGAAUGCGUGGUGUAGCGGUGAAAUGCAUAGAUAUCGCGCAGAACUCCGAUUGCGAAGGCAGCAUGCCGGCUCCACACUGACGCUGAGGCACGAAAGCGUGGGUAUCGAACAGGAUUAGAUACCCCGGUAACG